rnacentral:pre_miRNA from 2 species
GUUAGGAAGAGGAAGAAAGAGAGGGCUUAAGAGCAAUGGGGAUGAGAAUAUGGAGGAAAGCCUAAGUUACCAGGUCUUCACUUCUUGCGUUGAGGUGGAAAUCCCAUUUGGCAUUUCCCGAUGCCUCUCAUUCCUAUCAUUCUUAAGCGUCCCUUCCUCUUCCUUUUUGUU